AGUUGGUGGAGCGAUUUGUCUGGUUAAUUCCGAUAACGAACGAGACUUUGAUCUGCUAAAUAGUUACGCAACCUUUUCGGUUAGCGUCAAACUUCUUAGAGAGACUCGUGGCGUUUAGCCACACGAGAUUGAGCAAUAACAGG
rnacentral:rRNA from 1 species